UACGUAGGUGGCAGGCGUUGUCCGGAUUUACUGGGCGUAAAGAGCGCGCAGGCGGUCGUUCAAGUCGCGUGUGAAAGCCCCCGGCUCAACUGGGGAGGGUCACGCGAUACUGAUCGACUCGAAGGCAGGAGAGGGUAGUGGAAUUCCCGGUGUAGUGGUGAAAUGCGUAGAUAUCGGGAGGAACACCAGUGGCGAAGGCGACUACCUGGCCUGUUCUUGACGCUGAGGCGCGAAAGCUAGGGGAGCGAACAGG
rnacentral:rRNA from 1 species